UGACGCUGAGGCGCGAAAGUGUGGGGAGCAAACAGGAUUAGAUACCCUGGUAGUCCACACUGUAAACGAUGAAUGCUAGGUGUAGGAGGUAUCGACCCCUUCUGUGCCGCAGUCAACACAAUAAGCAUUCCGCCUGGGGAGUACGGCCGCAAGGUUGAAACUCAAAGGAAUUGACGGGGGCCCGCACAAGCAGCGGAGCAUGUGGUUUAAUUCGACGCAACGCGAAGAACCUUACCAGGUCUUGACAUCCAGUAAAAACCUGAGAGAUCAGGUGUGUCUUCGGACAUACUGAGACAGGUGGUGCAUGGUUGUCGUCAGCUCGUGUCGUGAGAUGUUGGGUUAAGUCCCGCAACGAGCGCAACCCUUGUGUUCAGUUGCUAACAGGUGAAGCUGAGAACUCUGAACAGACUGCCGGGGACAACUCGGAGGAAGGUGGGGACGACGUCAAAUCAUCAUGCCCCUUAUGACCUGGGCUACACACGUGCUACAAUGGCCACCACAGAGAGGAGCAAGCCCGCAAGGGGGAGCAGAUCUCAAAAAAGUGGUCCCAGUUCGGAUUGUGGGCUGCAACCCGCCCACAUGAAGUCGGAGUUGCUAGUAA
rnacentral:rRNA from 1 species